UUAGUUGGUAGAGGUAAUGGCUCAACCAAGACGAUGAUCAGUAGGGGAUCUAAGAGGAUAAACCUCCACACUGGAACUGAGACAAGGACCAGACUUCUACGGAAGGCAGCAGUGAGGAAUAUUGGUCAAUGGAGGAAACUCUGAACCAGCUAUGCCGCGUGUACGGAAGACAGUCUUUUAGAUUGUAAACUACUUUUGCAUAGAAAUAAAAGUUACUACGUGAUAGUAGCCUGAAGGUACUAUGCGAAUAAGUGUCGGCUAAUUUCGUGCCAGCAGCCGCGGUAAUACGAAAGACACAAGCGUUAUCCGGAUUUAUUGGGUUUAAAGGGUGUGUAGGCUGUUUAUUAAGUCAGUAGUGAAAGCUUACAGCUUAACUGUAAAAUUGCUAUUGAUACUGAUAGUCUUGAGUAAGAUUGGAGUGUUUGGAAUGUAUGGUGUAGCGGUGAAAUGCAUAGAUAUCAUACAGAACACCAAUAGCGAAGGCAGGAUGCUAAAUCUUCACUGACGCUGAGGCACUAAAGCGUGGGGAGCAAACAGGAUUAGAUACCCUGGUAGUCCACUGCCCUAAACUAUGAUCACUAGCUAUUGGAAAAAAACUAUAUUCAGUGGCCAAGCCAAAGCGAUAAGUGAUCCACCUGGGAAGUACGAUCGCAAGAUUGAAACUCAAAGGAAUUGACGGGGUUCCGCACAAGCGGUGGAGCAUGUGGUUUAAUUCGAUGAUACGCGAGGAACCUUACCAAGGCUUAAAUGUAUUCCGAAUAAGCUGGAAACAACUUAGUCUAUAAGACGUAAUACAAGGUGCUGCAUGGUUGUCUUCAGUUCGUGCUGUGAAGUGUUUGGUUAAGUCCUAUAACGAGCGCAACCCCUAUUGUUAGUUGCCAACGGGUAAAGCUGGGGACUCUAACAAAACUGCCGGUGUAAAUUGUGAGGAAGGUGGGGAUAAUGUCAA
rnacentral:rRNA from 1 species